CCUACGGGUGGCAGCAGUGGGGGAUAUUGCACAAUGGGGGAAACCCUGAUGCAGCGACGCCGCGUGGGUGAAGAAGUAUUUCGGUAUGUAAAGCCCUAUUAGCAGGGAAGAAAAUGACGGUACUUGAGUAAGAAGCAGCGGCUAACUACGUGCCAGCAGCCGCGGUAAUACGUAGGGGGCAAGCGUUAUCCGGAUUUACUGGGUGUAAAGGGAGCGUAGACGGCAGUGCAAGUCUGGAGUGAAAGGCGAGGGCUCAACCCCCGGACUGCUCUGGAAACUGUACGGCUGGAGUGAAGGAGAGGUAAGUGGAAUUCCGAGUGUAGCGGUGAAAUGCGUAGAUAUAAGGAGGAACACCAGUGGCGAAGGCGGCUUACUGGACUGUAACUGACGUUGAGGCUCGAAAGCGUGGGGAGCAAACAGGAUUAGAUACCCCAGUAGUC
rnacentral:rRNA from 1 species